CAAUAGCGUAUAUUAAAGUUGUUGCAGUUAAAAGCUCGUAGUUGGACUUCUGGGUUGUGAUUGUGGUCCGCCUAACGGUGUGCACUGUGGUUGCGACUCUUCUUCCCGUAGUUUGGGGUGGCAUGCUUAGUUGUGUGCUUUUGGAAUAUGGGACCUUUACUUUGAAAAAUUAGAGUGCUCAAAGCAGACGAUUCGUCUGAAUAGCCGUGCAUGGAAUAAUGGAAUAGGACCUCGGUUCUAUUUUGUUGGUUUUCGGAAGUCGAGGUAAUGAUUAAGAGGGACAGACGGGGGGCAUUCGUACUGGGCCGCCAGAGGUGAAAUUCUUUAACUGGCUCAUGACGAACCACUGCGAAAGCAUUUGCCAAGAAUGUUUUCAUUAAUCAAGAACGAAAGUCAGAGGGUCGAAGACGAUUAGAU
rnacentral:rRNA from 1 species